rnacentral:ncRNA from 1 species
GGACCACCCUCUAAGCCUAAGUAUUCCUCGAUGACCAAUAGUGUACAAGUACCGUGAGGGAAAGGUGAAAGAACCCUAUUUAGGGAGUGUAAUAAAUAACUUGAGAUCUGAUGUGAACAAUCAGUCGCAGGAGCAGAGCUUAGAGCCUUUACUUUUGAUUUUAUUAGUGAAGCGCACUCGAUCACUCUAACGACGUACCUUUUGUAUGAUGGAUCAGCGAGGAAAUGGAAACAUCGGCUUAAUCCAUUAGGUGAAGGCGCUUUCCCAGGUAGAAUCUUCUAGUUCUUCCUAUUUGACCUGAAACCGAUCGAUCUAGCCAUGCGCAGGAUGAAGAGAGAUCUAACAGGCUUUAGAGGACCGAACCAACGUACGUGGCUAAAUACUGGAUGACUUGUGGCUAGGGUGAAAGGCCAAUCUAGAUAUUAGUCUUAUAUGUAAACUUGACGCUAUUCAUAAUU